rnacentral:lncRNA from 1 species
CCUAAGUUAAAAGCCCCAAAUCAAGUAUCAAAACCCAAAAACCCAUGUUUUUUUUUUUAUCACUAAGAAGAAAAAUACCCCAAACCAGUGCAAUCACCAUGCAAUUUUCUUUGUAACGGUUCUCAAAUGGCUUGAAUUACAGGAUCAUUCUCGUUACUUUCUUUCUCUCUUUAUUUUCGCAAUUUUACUUUGUUGUUGUGUUGA